GGGAAGGUGGCUCAGUGGUAGAUUGCUUGCCUUGCAUGCAUGAGGCCCUGGGUUCAAUUUCUCCUUACCA
rnacentral:tRNA from 1 species